rnacentral:rRNA from 1 species
UUGUAAAUAAUAAAAUUUAAUAAUGAGAAAUUAAAUGAAAUCAUUAAAUUUAAAAAAUUUGGCGGUAUUUUAAAUAAUUAGAGGAAUUUGUUAGUUAAAUGAUAAUCCACGAAUGGAGGGUCCUAAGUAAGUUUUUAUGUAUUGUUGUAUAAAAAUUAUUUUAUUAGAAUAAUGAUUAAAAUAUUUAAUUUAAUUUAAAUUCAAAUCAAAAUGUAGAAUUUUUAGGUUUAAAUGAAUUACAAUUUAAUUUAGUAUCAGAUUUAUUUUUUUAAUUAAAAUAAUAAGGUAGGAUUUAAGAGUAAAUUUAAAAAAAUUUUUAAAUUGAAGGAUAAAUUAAAAUAUG